AUCCAGCUGACGAGUCCCAAAUAUGGCGACAUGCGCAUCUUGGAU
rnacentral:hammerhead_ribozyme from 1 species